UCAGAGUUCAGUCCAUGGUCAGCCGCCUGUAUAGCCUUGGGCCUGUGGUGAAGUAGAGGUCAUAGCAGAAGGGCAUGGCAGAGGAAAGCUGCUCAGUCUGUGAAAGCCAGUAAACAGACAAAAUGUCACCCCCAAAGGCAUCCCCCACUGACCUAUUUCCUCUGGCCACACCCUACCUGCCUACAGUUACUACCAGUUAAUCCAUACCAAUGGAUUCAUCCACUGAUUGAGUUAAAGCUCAUAAUCCAAUCACUGUACUAGAACAUUCUUGCGUUGUCUCACACAUGAGUUUUUGGGGGAUACCCUGUAUAUAAACCAUAACAGUGAUUUAGAAACAAUGUGACAAAGACAGACUAAGGAAAGGGUAGAAGGGUGGGAGAAAAGUCACAUAGGCCUGAGAGUGAUUUAGGAGGCAGUCAACAGGUUUGCUGGGCUGAUUAGAAAACAGGGCUGAGUGUGUCAAGGACAGGACUGGCUAUCUGCCCAUACGAGGAGCAGAUGGUGAAGCAUCCCUGCGGAUUUGGACAGGAGAUGGUGGGCAAGGUCCAGUGUUAGAAGCAUGCGUGCUGAUCCACAGUAGGGGCUAAAUAUCUGGGUCUUACUGGAGACAGAGGUAAUGCAAGGAAGAGGGCAAAUCACCAUGCGCCCAUCCACUCCAUCCGACCACCCAACUCCCCCCAGCAGCACCACCUUCUCGCUCCUGUUCAGCCUUUCUGUCUCCCCUCACCUGUGGCUCACUUCAUUCUCAAUGUGUUUUCUCUCUGGCAGUACUGUAAGCAGAGACUCCCACUCCCUGACACAGGGUCUGUCAAAUAGUGAGCUUGG
rnacentral:lncRNA from 1 species